rnacentral:rRNA from 1 species
UACGAAGGGGGCUAGCGUUGCUCGGAAUCACUGGGCGUAAAGGGUGCGUAGGCGGGUUUUUAAGUCAGAGGUGAAAUCCUGGAGCUCAACUCCAGAACUGCCUUUGAUACUGAGAAUCUUGAGUUCGGGAGAGGUGAGUGGAACUGCGAGUGUAGAGGUGAAAUUCGUAGAUAUCCGAAGGAACAUCAGUGGCGAAAGCGGCUUCCUGGACCAGAACUGACGAUCAGGCACGAAAGCGUGGGGAGCAAACAGG